GUACCUGAAGAAAAAGCAUCGGCUAACUCCGUGCCAGCAGCCGCGGUAAUACGGAGGAUGCAAGCGUUAUCCGGAAUCAUUGGGCGUAAAGGGUCCGCAGGUGGCGAAUAAAGUCUGCUGUUAAAGACCGGGGCUUAACUCCGGAAAGGCAGUGGAAACUGAUUAGCUAGAGUACGGUAGGGGUAGAGGGAAUUCCCAGUGUAGCGGUGAAAUGCGUAGAUAUUGGGAAGAACACCGGUGGCGAAAGCACUCUACUAGGCCGAAACUGACACUGAGGGACGAAAGCUAGGGUAGCGAAAGGGAUUAGAUACCCCUGUAGUCUUAGCGGUAAACGAUGGAUACUAGGUGUAGCUUGUAUCGACCCGAGCUGUGCCGAAGCUAACGCGAUAAGUAUCCCGCCUGGGGAGUACGCACGCAAGUGUGAAACUCAAAGGAAUUGACGGGGGCCCGCACAAGCGGUGGAGUAUGUGGUUUAAUUCGAUGCAACGCGAAGAACCUUACCAGGGCUUGACAUGUCGCGAAUCUAGCGGAAACGUUAGAGUGCCUUAGGGAAUGCGAACACAGGUGGUGCAUGGCUGUCGUCAGCUCGUGUCGUGAGAUGUUGGGUUAAGCCCCGCAACGAGCGCAACCCUCGUCCAUAGUUGCCAAUAUUAAGUUAGGCACUCUAGGGAGACUGCCGGGGACAACUCGGAGGAAGGUGGGGAUGACGUCAAGUCAGCAUGCCCCUUACGUCCUGGGCGACACACGUACUACAAUGGUUGGGACAAAGGGCAGCAAGCUCGCGAGAGUAAGCGAAUCUCAUCAAACCCAGCCACAGUUCAGAUUGCAGGCUGCAACUCGCCUGCAUGAAGUAGGAAUCGCUGGUAAUCGCAGGUCAGCAUACUGCGGUGAAUUCGUUCCCGGGCCUUGUACACACCGCCCGUCACACCAUGGAAGCUGGCUACGCCCGAAGUCGUUACCCUAACCCGGUUUUGGGAGGGGGAUGCCGAAGGUAGAGCUAGUGACUGGGGUGAAGUCGUAACAAGGUAGCCGUACCGGAAGGCGUGGCUGGAUCACCUCCUUU
rnacentral:rRNA from 1 species